GACGAACGCUGGCGGCGUGCUUAACACAUGCAAGUCGAACGGAAAGGCCCUGCUUUUGUGGGGUGCUCGAGUGGCGAACGGGUGAGUAACACGUGAGUAACCUGCCCUUGACUUUGGGAUAACGUCAGGAAACUGGGGCUAAUACCGGAUAGGAGCUCCUGCUGCAUGGUGGGGGUUGGAAAGUUUCGGCGGUUGGGGAUGGACUCGCGGCUUAUCAGCUUGUUGGUGGGGUAGUGGCUUACCAAGGCUUUGACGGGUAGCCGGCCUGAGAGGGUGACCGGCCACAUUGGGACUGAGAUACGGCCCAGACUCCUACGGGAGGCAGCAGUGGGGAAUAUUGCACAAUGGGCGGAAGCCUGAUGCAGCAACGCCGCGUGCGGGAUGACGGCCUUCGGGUUGUAAACCGCUUUCGCCUGUGACGAAGCGUGAGUGACGGUAACGGGUAAAGAAGCACCGGCUAACUACGUG
rnacentral:rRNA from 1 species